CACGUAGGGGGCAAGCGUUGUCCGGAUUUAUUGGGCGUAAAGAGCUCGUAGGCGGCUCGGUAAGUCAGGUGUCAAAUCCUCAGGCUCAACCUGGGGCACCACCUGAUACUGCUGUGGCUAGAGUCCGGUAGGGGAGCGUGGAAUUCCUGGUGUAGCGGUGAAAUGCGUAGAUAUCGGGAGGAACACCUGUGGCGAAAGCGGCUCACUGGACCACAACUGACGCUGAGGCGCGAAAGCUAGGGGAGCAAACAGG
rnacentral:rRNA from 1 species